rnacentral:rRNA from 1 species
UGGGGAAUAUUGGACAAUGGGGGAAACCCUGAUCCAGCAAUGCCGCGUGAGUGAGGAAGGCCUUAGGGUUGUAAAGCUCUUUCGCGCGCGACGAUGAUGACGGUAGCGCGAGAAGAAGCCCCGGCUAACUUCGUGCCAGCAGCCGCGGUAAUACGAAGGGGGCGAGCGUUGUUCGGAAUUACUGGGCGUAAAGGGCGCGCAGGCGGCAGAUCAAGUCAGGCGUGAAAGCCCCGGGCUCAACCUGGGAAUGGCGCUUGGGACUGGUUUGCUAGAGUUCGGGAGAGGAGCGUGGAAUUCCCAGUGUAGAGGUGAAAUUCGUAGAUAUUGGGAAGAACACCGGUGGCGAAGGCGGCGCUCUGGACCGAGACUGACGCUGAGGCGCGAAAGCGUGGGGAGCAAACAGGAUUAGAUACCCGCGUAGUCC